rnacentral:rRNA from 1 species
UGGGUAACCUGCCCUUCACUCUGGGAUAACUCCGGGGAAACCGGGGCUAAUACUGGAUAUGACUCGAACAGGCAUCUGUUUCGGGUGGAAAGAUUUAUUGGUGGAGAAUGGACUCGCGGCCUAUCAGCUUGUUGGUGAGGUAAUGGCUCACCAAGGCGACGACGGGUAGCCGGCCUGAGAGGGCGAUCGGCCACACUGGGACUGAGACACGGCCCAGACCUCCGUACGGGAGGCA